UGUGAAUCUGUGCAAGACUGCCAAGGCCUU
rnacentral:piRNA from 1 species